rnacentral:rRNA from 1 species
GACGAACGCUGGCGGCGUGCUUAACACAUGCAAGUCGAACGGACAGACCCUGCUUUUGCGGGGUGCUCGUUUGGCGCACGCGUGAGUGACACGUGAGUAUACUGCCCUUGUCUUUGGGAUAACUUCACGAAACUGGGGCUCAUACCGGAUAGGAGCUCCUGCUGCAUGGUGGGGGUUGGAAAGUUUCGGCGUUUGGGGAUGGACUGGCGGCUUAUCAGCUUGUUGGGGGGGUAGGGGCUUACCAAGUCUUUGACGGGUAGCCGGCCUGAGAGGGUGAACGGCGACAUUGGUACUGAGAGACGGAGCAGAAUGCUACGGGAGGCAGUAGGGGGGAACAUGGCAGAAUGGGCGGAAGUGAGAGGCAGAAACGUCGCGUUCGUGAUGACGUGCUACGAGUGGUAAACCGCUGUGGCCGGUGACGAGGCGGGAGUGACGGUAAUGGGUAAGGAAGCACCGGCUAACUACGUG